rnacentral:rRNA from 1 species
AACGAACGCUGGCGGCAGGCCUAACACAUGCAAGUCGAACGGUCCUUCGGGACAGUGGCGCACGGGUGAGGAACACGUGGGAACGUACCCUGUAGUACGGAAUAGCCUCGGGAAACUGGGAUUAAUACCGUAUACGCUCUUCGGAGGAAAGAUUUAUCGCUAUAGGAUCGGCCCGCGUUGCAUUAGCUUGUUGGUGGGGUAAUGGCCUACCAAGGCUACGAUGCAUAGCUGGUCUGAGAGGAUGAUCAGCCACACUGGAACUGAGACACGGUCCAGACUCCUACGGGAGGCAGCAGUGAGGAAUAUUGGACAAUGGGCGAAAGCCUGAUCCAGCCAUGCCGCGUGAGUGAUGAAGGCCUUAGGGUUGUAAAGCUCUUUCAUUGGUGAAGAUAAUGACGGUAACCAAAGAAGAAGCCCCGGCUAACUUCG